CCAUACUGUGGCAGUCAGAAAGCUGAUAUGAACUAGACCUUGGAAGCUUGCAAGUCUCAUUAAAAGAGCCACAAUGACUUCUGGUUCAUUUCUGGGCAUAGUUCAAAGUGCUGAUCAUUAACUUUUAAAGCUUAUAAAUGAUUUUGGAUCAGGGCAUCUAAAGGACUGUCUGCUCCAGGUUCUGAGACCCUGAGCUUAUCCCCUGAAGUCCCCAGUGUAACCAUAUUAUUGCCAUCUGGAGGGCUACUCUUGUGCAUGGCAGAAGUGGGACAACACUCCCCACCCCCUGGGACAUUAGUGGUAUGAAAAGUUACAGUUUUCCUGCAGGACAUGCACCUAUGGCAAACAAAGUAUUAUGAUCAACCAAAAACUUUUGCACGUGCCAACGGUGUUGGAAUUGUGAUUGCAAAUAACCGCCCUGAUUACGUGAGCACAGACCAUGAUGAAUGCUCGAUAAAAAGUACGUCCGCAGGGGCCCUCAAAUGCAACAGUCUGAUAACUGUUUAUUUCUUCUGCUUUUUCCUAAGUUAAUUGGCCAUAGUAGAGAGUAACAAGCUUGGGAAAGUUUUCUUAAAAGAGGACAGGUUAGAUAAACAACCUCUGGGCGGCUCUAUCAGCAUGAUGCUGAAGCUUACGUAGGUGGAGAGAUGCACAGCCGUCAUAGUUUAUUAUUAUUAUGAGCUUGGUCUGUGUUCGUGCAUGGCUUGUGAAAUGGGGGCAAGAACAUAUGUCUGAGACUUAGACUCUUGGUGGCCACUCGGUUUUUUGUGUUCGUGUCACUGAGAUUCUAAACAAAAGCUAGAAGUGAAGUGGUUGUAAAGAAAUGCUUGAAGAGUUUGAAAGUGGUGUUUUAGCAGUGGCCUUUUCUCUUGAGGGUCCUUCUAGCAUCUGUAUCAUUAACAACAGAGAUGAAAUGGUUUUAGGAAAGGAAAGUUCUUUCAGAAAGCAGUUUUUUUCUGCAAGCAUUCCUAGCACCAAAAAGCAUUGGGAAGAGUAGGCCUAGGACGGGGAAGAAGCUGCAGAAAAUAUGUAUUCCAUGGCAAAGGAGCUGGAGGAACAAAUGCCAAAAGGAAAGAGGUUUGCAGCCAAAAUCUGCUCCUUACAUUUGAGAACUUUGUAUGGAUUUCCCCUCAUCAAACUUCCUUUGAGACUAGCAGCUUUGACAUAUGUAAAGGCGCGAGCUGCAGUGACCAGGAACAGGUCCAAACCAUGCAGGAGAAUGAAGCUAUGAUUACUCAGAGCAAGAAGACUCAUUUGCUCAGAACUAAUGGCCAAGAUGAAGUCUGACAGGUCCACACAAGUGGGCUACUCUCCCAGCAGGGAAUUUACAAGGUCUUGCCUUAUGUAGCCACUUCCACUUACUAAUGGAAAUGAAAACCAGAUAUGCCCUUCCCAGCAGCUGCCUCGCCACCACCAGAGCUUUGCAUAACUCUUGCUCCACCGUCCUUCUCUAGGGGAGCUCUAUAAAAUAAACAGAUUCAUUACAUGCGGA